rnacentral:rRNA from 1 species
GAGCGGAUGACGGGAGCUUGCUCCUUGAUUCAGCGGCGGACGGGUGAGUAAUGCCUAGGAAUCUGCCUGGUAGUGGGGGACAACGUUUCGAAAGGAACGCUAAUACCGCAUACGUCCUACGGGAGAAAGCAGGGGACCUUCGGGCCUUGCGCUAUCAGAUGAGCCUAGGUCGGAUUAGCUAGUUGGUGGGGUAAUGGCUCACCAAGGCGACGAUCCGUAACUGGUCUGAGAGGAUGAUCAGUCACACUGGAACUGAGACACGGUCCAGACUCCUACGGGAGGCAGCAGUGGGGAAUAUUGGACAAUGGGCGAAAGCCUGAUCCAGCCAUGCCGCGUGUGUGAAGAAGGUCUUCGGAUUGUAAAGCACUUUAAGUUGGGAGGAAGGGCAGUAAGUUAAUACCUUGCUGUUUUGACGUUACCGACAGAAUAAGCACCGGCUAACUCUGUG